UGUGGACAUAUCAGACGCCUUGUGAAACACUAAAGGAAAAAUUCAGUUUCGAGCUAUGGCACUUGCCGCAUAGAUGUGGGGGGCCUUCCACUAAUAGUGAUCGUUACCACUGCAUUUAGAAAUUGAAAGCAUUCAUGCAGACAAGGAUGAUUCUUUAUAUUUUUGGCUACCACUUCAAAUGCCUCCACCAAGUGUUACAAUGCUGCACGCAGCCAUACUAAGGAUCUCGCAGCAACAGCUGCAGGUAAAAAGCAGAAGCAAAGUGCUGGUGUGUACUGGACACUAUGUUUGAAAACUUUUAGGCAAGAAGAGUGCAAGAAGCAGAAUAACAACUGCAUUUAUUUCCAUAAUUCCCCAUUUGAAUGGCCUUUUCUUUUUGGUUAGACAAUGCCUACGCCUAGCCACAGCAGCUCCCUCAUACAGACUCCGCAAGCCAAGAGGCCGUGGAGGCAAAUGCAGGCAGCCAGCACACCUCGAACAGCCACCUUGACUGCGGGUGUGUCACCCUAGUUGCCAAGGAAACAUUUGAGGGAAAGCGACAGGCAAUGUGAACUGCCACUUCUCCAUGUAAACGAUACUCUUUCUCUCGGAUGACUCCUACGCCUCGCCACGCCAGCACAGUUGUGCACGAAGAUGCCGCGGAGGCACGUGCAGGUCAGAGGCAAGAAGCAGUGGCACUGGUGUCAACAUUCACCCAAUUUCUUUUUCUUACACUGAGGCAGCCAGCACACCUCGAACAGCCACCUUGACUGUGGGUGUGUCAGUAGAUUCCUGUUGUAUAUAUGCUCAUAAUAAACUUCAGUAAACUUGAACUUGAUAAUACACUUGAAGGCAAAUGGGA
rnacentral:lncRNA from 1 species